rnacentral:rRNA from 1 species
UACGUAGGGGGCAAGCGUUGUCCGGAUUUAUUGGGCGUAAAGAGCGUGUAGGCGGCCAGGUAGGUCUGCUGUGAAAACCCGCGGCUCAACCGUGUGGUCUGCAGUCGAUACGGGCAGGCUAGAGUUCGGUAGGGGAGACUGGAAUUCCUGGUGUAGCGGUGAAAUGCGCAGAUAUCAGGAGGAACACCGGUGGCGAAGGCGGGUCUCUGGGCCGAUACUGACGCUGAGGAGCGAAAGCGUGGGGAGCGAACAGG